rnacentral:rRNA from 1 species
ACUCAAAUGAAUUGACGGGAGCCCGCACAAGCGGUGGAGCAUGUGGUUUAAUUCGACGCUAAGCGAGUAACCUUACCAGGUCUUGAAAUCCAGCUGCAUUCUUUGGGAAACCAGAGAAGCCUUCGAGGGUGCUGGACAGGUGCUGCAUGGCUGUCGUCAGCUCGUGGCGUGAGCUGUUGGGUUAAGUCCCCUAACGAGCGCAACCCCUGUCGGAUGUUAAAGUAUUCGUCCGAGACUGCACGCUUUAAGCGUGAGGAAGGAAGGGAUGACGUCAAGUCAGCAUGGUCCUCUGACGACCUGGGCCACACACGUGCUACAAUGGGAUGUAACAAUGGGUCGCAAAGCCGCAAGGCGAAGCUAAUCCCACCAAACCAUCCCCCAGUUCAGAUUGGAGGCUGCAACUCGCCUCCAUGAAGCCGGAAUCGCUAGUAACCGCGCAUCAUCACGGUGCGGUGAAUACGUUCUCGGGCUUUGCACACACCGCCCGU